rnacentral:rRNA from 1 species
AUUGAACGCUGGCGGCAGGCCUAACACAUGCAAGUCGAGCGAGCGGCGGGCGGGUGAGUUGUGCGUGAGAAUCGCCCAGUCGGGGGGUAUAACAGGUGGACACGACCGCUAAUACCGCAUACUAUUGGAUUGCAGAGGUGGGAUUAGCUAGUUGGUGGGGUAAUGGCUCACCAAGGCGACGAUCCCUAGCUGGUCUGAGAGGAUGAUCAGCCACACUGGAACUGAGACACGGUCCAGACUCCUACGGGAGGCAGCAGUGGGGAAUAUUGCACAAUGGGGGAAACCCUGAUGCAGCCAUGCCGCGUGUGUGAAGAAGGCCUUCGGGUUGUAAAGCACUUUCAGCGAGGAGGCGUUACUCGCAGAAGAAGCACCGGCUAACUCCGUGCCAGCAGCCGCGGUAAUAC